rnacentral:rRNA from 1 species
UUGGAGGGCAAGUCUGGUGCCAGCAGCCGCGGUAAUUCCAGCUCCAAUAGCGUAUAUUAAAGUUGUUGCAGUUAAAAAGCUCGUAGUUGAAUUUCGGGAUCAAAUAAUCGGUCGUGCCUCCGGUACGUACUGGUUUUAUUGGUUCCUCCCUUCUGACGAGCCAUGAUGUCAUUAAUUUGAUGUGGUGGAGAAUCAGGACUGUUACCUUGAAAAAAUUAGAGUGUUUAAAGCAGGCUAACGCUUGAAUACAUUAGCAUGGAAUAAUGAAAUAGGACGUUCGACCCUAUUUUGUUGGUUUCUAGGAUCGACGUAAUGAUUAAUAGGGAUAGUUGGGGGCAUUAGUAUUCAAUUGUCAGAGGUGAAAUUCUUGGAUUUAUUGAAGACUAACUACUGCGAAAGCAUUUGCCAAGGAUGUUUUCAUUAAUCAAGAACGAAAGUUAGGGGAUCGAAGACGAUCAGAUACCGUCGUAGUCUUAACCAUAAACUAUGCCGACUAGGGAUCGGAUGAUGUUAAUUUUUUAAUGACUCAUUCGGCGCCUUACGGGAAAC